AGAGUUUGAUCCUGGCUCAGAACGAACGCUGGCGGCAGGCUUAACACAUGCAAGUCGAACGCGUGUAGCAAUACACGAGUGGCGCACGGGUGAGUAACGCGUGGAUAUCUGCCUUUUGGUUCGGAAUAACUCCGGGAAACUGGAGCUAAUACCGGAUGGUUCCUACGGGAUAAAGAUUUAUCGCCAAAAGAUGAGUCCGCGUACGAUUAGCUAGUUGGUGAGGUAAUGGCUCACCAAGGCGACGAUCGUUAGCUGGUCUGAGAGGACGAUCAGCCACACUGGGACUGAGACACGGCCCAGACUCCUACGGGAGGCAGCAGUGGGGAAUAUUGGACAAUGGAGGCAACCCUGAUCCAGCCAUGCCGCGUGAGUGAUGAAGGCCUUCGGGUUGUAAAGCUCUUUUGGCGGGGACGAUGAUGACGGUACCCGCAGAAUAAGCCCCGGCUAACUUCGUG
rnacentral:rRNA from 1 species